rnacentral:lncRNA from 10 species
UAGAAAUUAGGAACUAAGUAAAGAUAAGACAGACACUGACACCAAGAGCUCAGAAAAAUUAAGAGGCUGAAAUCAGGCAUGAAAUCAGGAAGCAGGAGGAAACCCAAACCACAGGGCUAGACAGGACAGAUGGUCAAAGCCUGAGCAUACAACCAGGAGCUGAAGGGACCAGCUUGGCCGUCAGUUGCAAGGGUGUGAGGCAGAAGCAACACAAAAGAUCUUGAUAUGAAGCAAUUAUUUUUGGUCUUAAACUGCUGGGACUCCAGAUGACCCAGACCACGGUCAGCAGGCAGAAGCCAGAGACAUGGUCUUGCUCUGUCACCUAGGCCGUAAUACAGUGGCGUGAUCCUAGCUCACAGCAGCCUCCAACUCCUGGGCUCAAGAGAUCCUCCUGCCUCAGCCUUCUGACUAGCUGGGACUACAGGAAUGUGCUACCACACCCAGCUAAUUUUUUAAUUUUUUGCAGAGAUGACAUCUCACUAUAUUGCCCAGGCUGGUCUUGAACUUCUAGCCUCAAGCAAUCCUCCCACCUCAGCCUCUGAACGUACUGGAAUUACAGAUGGAGCAACUGAGAUUCUUCCCCAACUAGACUAUAAGUUCUCUGAGGGAUAAGGAACAUGUCUGGUUUCCUCAUCUCUCUGUCACAGCACCCUGUGAAUGCCUAGAAGACAGUAAGAAUCAACUGAAUGUUUGUAGAAAGAAUAACGAUACUUACCUAUAGUCUAAAGGUUUAGUGAUGAAAUGAAGUCCACUAACUUCUCUCUGCUUACUUCCACCCUCAAUAACAUAUUUCCUCAAACCCCACAGAGGAAAGACAAUUCAUUUUUUACUAUUGUUUAAUAGAGCCAUGUUUGUAUGUAGCUUCCUGUUCCGCUUAGCCCAAGACAUUAAGUGGGUCAGGAGUAAACUCUGCCCUCUGUUUUUUUCCAUUCCUUUGUCACCUGCUCAAGUGGCAGCCCAGAGCCGCUUGGCGGCUUCCCUGAAGAUGAGCAGAGUGCAGUAGAUUAGGCAUGGCCUUUCUAUCUAUUUCUACUAUGGAGAAGCUGAAAAAGCUAUAUGGCUGGAAAAAAAUCACCUUGGUACUAAUUUGCUAUUUUACAAUAUUUGAAAAUAAAGACCUGUGGUCUUCCUAUGUAUUUCUUUUUAAACAAUGAGGGGUAUGGAACAUCUAUGAAUAAACAUCAAGGUCUUCAAGUGAAUUUUCAGGUUGUGAAGUAUGUGAUUUGUUACUACUAGGGAGAGAUGUUUCCUAACCAUAAAAAUGAAUGUGACUUUUUUUUUUUAAAGGAUGCAACUAAAUUAUAAAAGACAAUCAUUUCACUGGUGGGAAUAGAAUUCACUUAUUCUGAGUCAUGCCUAUUGCAUUACAUUUUGUUUAGCAUAAUUAAUGGUGAAUCUGAGUUGUCCCACAGAAGUAAACCCUAAUUCUCCUCUCCCUACUUCUACCUCUCUCAUUUUAAAGUCUUCAAUUAGUUUUUCCCAAAUGUUUCCAGUCUUAAGAUUUACGGAAUUUGAAGCCUUUCCCAAAGAUCCAAUCUUCCAGAUAAAAGGAAAAUAUAAUAUAGCAUUCCAAUAAAAAUAAGAUAUUCUGGGGUUUCCAUUUUUAAUUAUACCAAUUUUUAAUGUUCAUUAAAUAUAUUUCCCUCUGCCAA